CCUGGUUGAUCCUACCAGUAGUCAUAUGCUUGUCUCAAAGAUUAAGCCAUGCAUGUGUAAGUAUGAACAAAUUCAGACUGUGAAACUGCGAAUCGCUCAUUAAAUCAGUUAUAGUUUGUUUUAUGGUAUCUACUACUCGGAUAAACGUAGUAAUUCUAGAGAUAACACGUGCAACAAACCCCGACUUCCGGAAGGGAUGCAUUUAUUAGUUAAAAGGUCGACGCGGGCUCUUUCCGUUGCUGCGAUGAUUCAUGAUAACUCGACGGAUCGCACGGCCAUCGGGCCGGCGAUGCAUCAUUCAAAUUUCUGCCCUAUCAACUUUCGAUGGUAGGAUAGUGGCCUACCAUGGUGGUGACGGGUGAUGGAGAAUUAGGGUUCGAUUCCGGAGAGGGAGCCUGAGAAACGGCUACCACAUCUAAGGAAGGCAGCAGACGCGUAAAUUACCCAAUCCUGACACGGGGAGGUAGUGACAAUAAAUAACAAUACCGGGCUCAAUGAGUCUGGUAAUUGGAAUGAGUACAAUCUAAAUCCCUUAAUGAGGAUCCAUUGGAGGGCAAGCCUGGUGCCAGCAGCCGCGGUAAUUCCAGCUCUAAUAGCGUAUAUUUAAGUUAUUGCAGUUAAAAAGCUCAUAGUUGGACUUUGGGAUGGGCCGGCCGAUCCGCCUACGGUGUGCACCGGUCAUCUCGUCCCUUCUGUCGGUGAUGCUCUCUGAUAACGCUCAAUCUACAGCUCUUGUGAGUGUAAAGCGGUCGUUAGCAAAUAUAGAACCCAACCUGGGUUGGGUGUCGAUCCCACAGGGAAUAGCUUGGCCAACAAGUAAGCAAAAUUAAUAGACUUUAGGUGCAAGUCUCGUAAGAAGGGGGGAUUCUUGUUUUGCAAGUAAUGUAAACAAAAGCUGAAAAUAAUAAAGUAAAGAGAGAGAUUGUUACGUUGGUUGUAAACAAUGAGAAUUGAAGUGCUGGGGUUAUGUCCACCUUCUGAGGUAUACGUCUCUAUUGGCUAUGAGUGUGUAGAGUUUUGACAUGCAAUUGCUUAUGGAGAAUUGUAGUCGAUGGUAAAUCCAAGCGUCUCUCGACCUAAA
rnacentral:rRNA from 1 species